rnacentral:rRNA from 1 species
AUACGGAGGGUCCAAGCGUUAUCCGGAAUCAUUGGGUUUAAAGGGUCCGCAGGCGGUCAAUUAAGUCAGAGGUGAAAGCCCAUCGUUCAACGAUGGAACUGCCUUUGAUACUGGUUGACUUGAGUUAUACGGAAGUAGAUAGAAUAAGUAGUGUAGCGGUGAAAUGCAUAGAUAUUACUUAGGAUACCGAUUGCGAAGGCAGUCUACUACGUAUAUACUGACGCUGAGGGACGAAAGCGUGGGGAGCGAACAGGAUUAGAAACCCUAGUAGUCC